UACGGGGGGGGCAAGCGUUGUUCGGAAUUACUGGGCGUAAAGGGUUUGUAGGUGGCUUGUUAAGUCAGACGUGAAAUCCCUCAGCUUAACUGGGGAACUGCGUCUGAUACUGGCGAGCUUGAGUCCGGGAGAGGUGAGUGGAACUCCGAGUGUAGAGGUGAAAUUCGUAGAUAUUCGGAAGAACACCAGUGGCGAAGGCGGCUCACUGGCCCGGUACUGACGCUGAGGUGCGAAAGCGUGGGGAGCAAACAGG
rnacentral:rRNA from 1 species